GGCCAGUGUGGCAUAGUGGUUUGCGUUUCGGACUAUGAUUCUGGAGACCAUGGCUCGAUUGCCAGCUUGGUCA